UCUCUUUUCCCUGUGUUCUUUCUCUGGCAGCAGUUUCUGAAAGGAUGGAGACAGCAGUGUGUUUCUGCUCAGUUUAUCAAGUUACACUUAGUGACAAAGGACUGAAGGACAAUCAGGAUCCAGGGAGAAAAAAAGAAAGCGUGACAGGGAACCCAGAGCUUUUGUGGAAGGAAGGCUGAAUGGCAGCGAUGGUUUGUGGCAGAAGGAGGGUACAUAAGAGCAUCGGACUGCUUCUCACUGGGGACAGAGGACAGCCAGACUAGGAGAAAAGGACAGAAAGAGAAACAAGGCCUUCCCGCCUCUCCAGCCUGCUGGCUUUUGUUCCAAAGCUGCUGUCAGCCGAGCAGAGCCAUUUACACCGAGGCCCAAAGCUGCUCUGCUCCUCACUAGCCUGAGCAAAGACGACUGUCUGCCUGGUAUAUGGGUGAUUCGACAGGGUAGAGGAUGGACGAGGAGACAACGGCAGAAAUCAUGAUAACAAGAAUAACUUAACCCCAGCAUGCGCACAAGAUGAUUGCCUGUGUACCACGCAUGGUUUUGAGACCCUCUCACAGCAGCCUGGAGCUAGAGACACCGUCCACCCCGCUGAACAGAGAGGACCUGAGCAGGUAGAAUCUCUGAGUUCUCCAGGAACCCAAAAGUUAACCAAGGACCCUGAAUGCACAGGACUUUCAUGUGACCUCUCCAUCUGUAGUUCAGUUUGGAGUUUGGUCCUUGUUUCAACUUCACCAGCUCCUCACACUCCAGCUUCUUUCAACAACUCAGGCUGGGUGAAGCCUGAGAGGGAGACAAGGCACUGUUCUCAGCGCAGGUGUCAACUGUGGAAAAGGUGUGGCCUGGCUGCCCGAGGUAAGCUCCAGCGAGCCCUCUGCACAACCUGGACCCAGACAGACGGCCAGAGCAGGACCUCUUCCAUGGAAAUGUGGCCCACGUCCAGUCUCAUUUCCUGAGUGGGGCUCACUGCCUCUUCCUUCCACCCUCGGCCUGCUGCAGUUUACCAAACCCAUGGACUCAGUUCCAUGAAUGCUCUAGCAAUCCCCUGAAGCUGAGCAGUGCUGGCCCUGUUUGAUGGUCACUUCCAGGGAUGUGCGAGGCACCUCUGGGCCUUCAGGGAAACAAAGGCAAUGUGGCUGGCUUCCCUAUUAGCACCUGUUUCGCUGUGGAGCAUUGGAGGGCAUAGGGGCCAGGGCUCCCUCCCUGUGUCUGGGAGAUGGAUGGGACUGAUAUUUUUCCCUAGAAUUCCUCAUCAUCAAUCUAAUUUGGACCCUCAUCUGUCUAGGCCAGUCUCCACGGAGGUGUGUGGUCAUGACAAAUGGGCUGACUUACUAAUGUGACUGGGGUGGCAGGGAUUUGGGGAGGGCUUCUGUUCUGAUGGAUGGUCCCCACGAGAGCAUAUUGCAUUAGGAACCCUUAAUGCAAUCAGCAGGGCCAUUACCAUCCCAAUUCAUGGCUCCUCCUCACCAGGGUGGGGUCACAGAGCUGGAAGAUUAAGGAGGACGUCAGGACUUUGGAGACACCUGGGGAUGUGAGGAGGGAGUCAAGAUUUCCUUCCUGGGGGCCAUUACUAGGGAAAUACGGUAACAUGGAGCCAAAGAAAAGUGCAUACCCAAAAGGGAAGAGCAAAGAAUCAAGGCCCAGGCAGUUGGUAUAACCUGGCAAAGGUCACCUCUGGAGCCACAGAUAUCAAUUGAUUCAGUUUUGUUUUUUCAAGACCAUGUUCUGGCUGCCCUAGAACUAUGUAGACCAGGCUGGCCUCCAACUCAUGGAGAUCAGCCUGCCUUUGCCUCCCAAGUAUCUUAAACAGGGUUUUUGAGGUCAAUCAAUUCAUGUUACUCAUGUAUGACUAGCUGACCAUUUGUGAUUAUGGAAUGCCGUUUUAAAAUAUACACCUACCUUGGAAACAGAUACCUAGUCUACUGUUUGCCGCUGCACUGGGCAGCAAAUGGCAUUUUCUCUGGAUGUUUAACCCAAAAUGAGCUCAUGGGGCUCUAGGAUGUGCGCAUAACCAAAUUAGGUUUUCUUCUGCUCAAGGACUCUUCAGAGGUCCUGUCUGGCCCACAUUUCCUAGGUUCAAGGCUUCCCAUUCUGAGACCUGCAUGGCUUUGUUGUGUUCUCAUCUGCUUGGUGUGGUGGGUAUGACAUGAUGUAAGCCAGCACACAGCAGUUAGUACUGCUUUGAAAGCCUUUCUUCAUUCGCAUCCCUUUACUAUCUUUUCACUUUAAAUUUCCUUCUUUCACCUCUUGGUAAACUUCUACCUUUCCAAAUCCAGGGCUAAAAUCUCAGUUUUUCUGAAAUUUCCCAGAUUGCUCCUGGUAUUCUAGAACAUUCUACACUGACCAUCCUGACAUUUUUAUCUUCCUCAUUCAUGGGUAACUAUUGGGGAAGGGAAGGGAGGAAGUAAAGGAGGAACAAGGUAGGUUGAGAAGGUGGGAGCUGUGAAACUAGGCAUUUGAUUGUAUGUUCUUAUGUAGCAAUGGGCUCAAAAGACUGCAGGUAUGUAGGUAACACCCCUUUGGGGCUCUUCUGGUUCUUGGCUACUUCAGGGCCCACUCACCUCUAUUUAAGUAACUUUAUCCUAGCUAUUUCUCAGUGUGCUUUUCCUUCAGUCUCUAACCAAGCCUGUAGCUCAGUCAGCUUGAAAAUAGUUACUGUAAUGUAGAUGAACUCUGGCCGUAAAGCUUGUAUGCGUGUGUGUGUGUGUGUGUGUGUGUGUGUGUGUGUGUGUGUGUGUGUGUUGGGGGAGUGUACAUGUGUUUUGAUAUUCAUGUGUGAUGUGCAGGCCAGAGAACAAACUCGGCUGUCGUUUCUACUCAGCAACAACUUGAGUUCUUUUGAAGAUCCAUGCAUUUUUGAGACAGGAUCUCUCACUGGCCUGGAAAUUGCCAAGUGUGCUGUGGCUGGCUGGCAAGCAAGUCCCAGGGAAUCUGCCUUUGGAGCCUCAACACUGGAAUUACAAGCAUUUUGCUACUAUGAUGUUUCUCCUUUUUACAUGGGUCUGAGAUCAAAGGGAGGUUCUCAUGCCUGCUAGUCAAGCACUUUACCAGCCAAGCAUCAAUCCAGGCCUGGACUGACAGCUCACAAAGGACAGGAUAUGAGGGAGAGGGUGGCAGUUAGAACAAUUGUGGGGAACUACUGUUCCUGAGCUUUGGGAUUUUCUGCCUGUACAACAGGAACAGAUGACUGGACAGGGUGAUCACAGCAAUGUGGCCAUAUUCUGCUCCACCCCUCCUAGACAAGCAAUAAAGCCCUGACUCUCUGGCUUCAGCCUCCCAUAUAGUUGGGCUUACAGGCCUAUGACACCAGGCUAGCUCUUCAUCAAGCCAAGUAUCAUCUAGGCAUGUCCAAAUUAAUUCCUCUCCUUUGAAAUCAACAGCACUUUACCAUUAUCCCGCCUUCUGGCUCUUUAUUUGGUUAAUCAGAAACUUGCAUGCUUGUGAUGCUCAGGAUUGAGCCAGGGCCUCAGGCAUGGUAGAAAAGUGUUCUCCCUCUAACUCAUGCCCGGGUCCUCAUGCUGCUUCUGGAAUGUAACCUUUAUCCCUGUCUCCAUUGCCAUGGACCCUCAGGCUUCUUCACACUGUGGAAGAGUUUGUUUAGAGACAGCAUACACUUAAUUCUCUUGUCUUCUGUUUGCCUAGGUUACAUCAUCCCACUCCAUCCCACUCCUCCUUCCCCUCAUCUGAUGGCAUGAAGGAAGC